AUGAGCUCUUCGGAACGCCUGAGUGGCGUCCGAUCCGACCAAUAAGAGCGCUGGGAAGGGCGAGGGGCGGAGCGGGUGCGACGCGGCGCCGCCAUUUUGCGGCGGAGAAACGGCGGCGGCGGUGGCGACGGAGAGCGGAGCCCAUCCCAGUUCAUCCCAGUUCAUCCCAGUUCAUCCCAGUUACUGUGUCCCCCCCGCAGGCGCCAGCAUCAGACAUGGAAUACGAACGCAGGUAAGGGGGGGGACCCCAAAAAGGAGAGAC
rnacentral:lncRNA from 1 species